GACGAACGCUGGCGGCGUGCUUAACACAUGCAAGUCGAACGGAAAGGCCUGCUUUCCCUUGUGGAUUGCGGGUACUCGAGUGGCGAACGGGUGAGCAACACGUGAGUGAUCUGCCCCCAACUUGGGUAUAAGCCUGGGAAACUGGGUCUAAUUCCCGAUAGGACUGCAGGGUGGUGCCUGUGGUGGAACACGAUUUUCUAGUGGUUGGGGAUGAGCUCGCGGCCUAUCAGCUUGUUGGUGGGGUAAUGGCCUACCAAGGCGGCGACGGGUAGCCGGCCUGAGAGGGUGGACAGACACAUUGGGACUGAGAUACGGCCCAGACUCCUACGGGAGGCAGCAGUGGGGAAUAUUGCACAAUGGGCGGAAGCCUGAUGCAGCGACGCCGCGUGGGGGAUGACGGCCUUCGGGUUGUAAACUCCUUUCGACCGCGAGGAAGCCACCUGGUUGGAAGGGUGGUGACGGUAGUGGUAGAAGAAGCACCGGCUAACUACGUG
rnacentral:rRNA from 1 species